rnacentral:rRNA from 1 species
UACGUAGGGGGCAAGCGUUGUCCGGAUUUAUUGGGCGUAAAGAGCGUGUAGGCGGCUGGGUAGGUCUGCUGUGAAAACUCGAGGCUCAACCUCGAGACGUCGGCGGAAACCCUCCAGCUAGAGUCCGGAAGAGGAGAGUGGAAUUCCUGGUGUAGCGGUGAAAUGCGCAGAUAUCGGGAGGAACACCUAUGGCGAAGGCAGCUCGCUGGGACGUUACUGACGCUGAGGCACGAAAGCGUGGGGAGCAAACAGG